rnacentral:rRNA from 1 species
GUUACUGCCGGGCCGGUGGAGGGGUGAAGACGGAGGGGGCAGGCGUUGUCCGGGAGCGUUGGGCUGAAAGCGCGUGGAGGCUGCCCUGUAAGUCCGCUGGGAAAGCCGGGGGCUCAACCCUCGGAUGCCGGUGGAUACUGUCGGGCUCGAGUACGGAAGAGGCGAGUGGAAUUCCUGGUGUAGCGGUGAAAUGCGCAGAUAUCAGGAGGAACACCAAUUGCGAAGGCAGCUCGCUGGGACGUUACUGACGCUGAGACGCGAAAGCGUGGGGAGCAAACAGGAUUAGAUACCCUAGUAGUC